CCCGUCAAGCGAUGGAAGCUGAGAGCACCCGAAGUCGGUGCACCAACCCGCAAGGAGGGAGCCGCCGAAGGUGAGAUCAGUGACUGGCGCU
rnacentral:rRNA from 1 species